rnacentral:tRNA from 1 species
GCACCUGUAGCUCAGUGGAUAGAGCAGUGGUUUCCGGAACCAUGUGCCGGGGGUUCGAGUCCCUCCAGGUGCG